AAAAAACAAACUAAUUUUUGCUACCGCUAAUUAGCAUGUCGCUAACCACGUUAUACAUCCAGUCUCUUAACUAUAACAGUUCGAUAUAGCACAAAAUUACAGGCAUACACAAUCAUAUUCACCUCUUGCAGGUCACACCAAAGUUUUUUUGUUGUAAGGACCACGAGUAGUCGACCUUCAUAACAAAACAUUAAUGCUUCCCACACCACGAUGCCUCCUUCAUUAGCGCUCACAUCAUAGCGUCUGUUCUCCGUUUCUCAUGCCUGCUCACUACUCCUCACACAAACCUGUCCCAAUAGUCCCGCCCCUUACACAGUGAUGUUACUCUGAUUGGCUGAAGUACUAACACAACCAAAAGCAAAACGGGAUUAAAUUAUUGACAGGUGACAGGUAACAGAUUAGGUUACACAGAUAAACACAGCUUCUUCUCUACUUUUCUCUACAGAUAGAAACGUUAAAACUUAUAUACGUAAUUUAACUUAACUAGUAAAUAGUACUUAUUUAUAACUCUACAUAUAUAUUAUACUUUACAGACUGGGCCUGGGCUCGUUGUAGGGAAAUACAACUUGUUUUAUAUGUUACUUAAUAAAUGUAUAUUUGUAAUACUCUUGGCUAUUCUUAUAAAGACCACCACAACUGUAUUUUGAUUGCAAAAAUAUUCACAAGUAUUUAUUUACAACAUUAAAUAAAAGAUAAAUGUAUCUUAGAAUAAAAUAAAACAAAUCACAUAGGCAUGAAAAUUUGGAAGGAAAAAACUAAAACAAAAAAGAAAAAAACUUCACUUUCCCAAAAGGAAAAAAAACCUUUCUGUGGUUAUAUUGAAAUUAAACAAUUAUUCAUUCCCUCUGAAAAAAUGUCCAACCCCGUUGCAGGCCUGUUCGAUGACACUUUGUGUGCGGUGAGGCCUAAAAACUGGAAUGGCCGCUUCACUCAGAAACUGAGCAUAAACAAAAAGCACGUGCAUGUGAAUGUUAGUACUCACGAAUCCAGGUUAAGUCAGUACAGCAAAAGCAAUGGCAAUGGCGAUGGUAAUGGCAAAGGAAGAAGCACAGCACAGACGAUCACGGCAGGCAGGGCACACAGAAACAGCAGAGCAGAAACAGCAGGGCCUUCGGUUGGAAAACCAGUCUCUCUCCCUUUCUCUCUCUCACCAACGUCCGUCUCCUUAGAGCAUAUUAUCUGAAUUGAGCCACAUUAUCAAACACUAUUUCUUAUUGAAUUAGCGUUAGCUUUGCUUUAGCUUUAGAGAUAUCACAAUGCUAAAACUACAACAUAUGAGCACAUUGGCACAGAAUGCUACCGCUAAUUAGCAUGUCGCUAACCACGUUAUACAUCCAGUCUCUUAACUAUAACAGUUCGAUAUAGCACAAAAUUACAGGCAUACACAAUCAUAUUCACCUCUUGCAGGUCACACCAAAGUUUUUUGUUGUAAGGACCACGAGUAGUCGACCUUCAUAACAAAACAUUAAUGCUUCCCACACCACGAUGCCUCCUUCAUUAGCGCUCACAUCAUAGCGUCUGUUCUCCGUUUCUCAUGCGUGCUCACUACUCCUCACACAAACCUGUCCCAAUAGUCCCGCCCCUUACACAGUGAUGUUACUCUGAUUGGCUGAAGUACUAACACAACCAAAAGCAAAACGGGAAUUAAAUUAUUGACAGGUGACAGGUAACAGAUUAGGUUACACAGAUAAACACAGCUUCUUCUCUACUUUUCUCUCAGAUGAAACGUAAAAACUUAUAUGAAUUUAACUUUAACUGUAAAUAGUCUUAUUUAUUAAACUCUACAUAUUAUAAUUUAUACUUUUAACCAGCACACCUUUUAUCCAAUUUUAACUAACAUGAACUAUUUAUGAACUUUUCUUUUUUUUCUUUGUGUGCGUAUAGGUUACACUGUUAAUGAUCUUUUAUACUCUGUAACUUAUUGAAAUUUUGUACAGGGCUACACAAACAUAAAUGAUAGAACUUGCAUUGAACCAGACAACUAAAUGAGUUUAUCCAGCUUGCCCUUCCAUUUUUCAUAUCACUACUGAGUAGGUUUCAUGUGGUCAUGAAUCCAUGAAAAGUAGUGGGAAAUAUGAGUGUACACUGUGAGGUAUGGCUUUGUUUUGGUAUUGUAAAAUGACACAAUUCCCUGUGCAACACCUCCACAAACAAGUGGACCGCCAGAGUCUCCCUGUGGAUUAUAUCAUUUGAUUAUUAGUAUAUCGCAAGGCAACGACACUGAUACAUCAGAGAUAAUUUGUG
rnacentral:lncRNA from 1 species